GAUGAACGCUGGCGGCGUGCCUAAUACAUGCAAGUCGAGCGAACAGACGGGGAGCUUGCUCCUUUGAUGUUAGCGGCGGACGGGUGAGUAACACGUAGGUAACCUACCUAUAAGACUGGGAUAACUUCGGGAAACCGGAGCUAAUACCGGAUAAUAUUUCGAACCGCAUGGUUCGAUAGUGAAAGAUGGCUUUGCUAUCACUUAUAGAUGGACCUGCGCCGUAUUAGCUAGUUGGUAAGGUAACGGCUUACCAAGGCAACGAUACGUAGCCGACCUGAGAGGGUGAUCGGCCACACUGGAACUGAGACACGGUCCAGACUCCUACGGGAGGCAGCAGUAGGGAAUCUUCCGCAAUGGGCGAAAGCCUGACGGAGCAACGCCGCGUGAGUGAUGAAGGUCUUCGGAUCGUAAAACUCUGUUAUUAGGGAAGAACAAACGUGUAAGUAACUGUGCACGUCUUGACGGUACCUAAUCAGAAAGCCACGGCUAACUACGUG
rnacentral:rRNA from 1 species